CUUUUUGUACCAAAAAAUAUGUUCCUAAAAAGUUGUUCUUUUCUAUCAAGAAUCCAAAAUCUUGUGGAUAUAUAUCAAAAUUCACUUGUAAAUGAUUGUUCAAUUGAUGAAACCUCUAAAGAUAACAAAACCCAAGUUUCCAUUGAUGUCAAAACCAGUACGUGGAACUGGAAGGGCUAUUCCAUCCGAUACCAGUUUUGUGGCAACAGUGGCCCUGCGCUCGUUUUAGUCCAUGGUUUUGGAGCAAACAGGUCAACAUCAAUCACAUUUUGCUUAUAG